ensembl:lncRNA
GUACUGGGGGUUAUGUAUGUGCCUAGGGAGGAGGACUGAACACCUUACCAGCCCAAAAGUGCCGGUGUGCCAGAGGCAGAAAGAAGAGGGAAGGCUUCGUGCUGGAGGGAAUAAUUCUGGGAGAAGUCUCUGCAGGAUUUUUCCAUAGGCUUUGGCACCUGCGCCCAUCCCGGGCAGCACAUUUGCAGAGCGCCAGGAGCCUCCCCAGCCUCGCAAGAUGCCCAACCACACACGCACACUCAGCUGCAGGAAAGCCUGUUUAUCUUGUAAAAACUUGACUUGUGCAGGAAAGCAUCCAGAGGCCUCUGUAUUCCUGCAAAAUGCGCCGAGGGACAAUAAAUACGGCCAGAUUCCUCACCUUUUAAGGACUUGAGACUUCCCUCUUUUGGAAGCGGAGGUGCCAAGCUCGUCGCCAGCGCUGGCAUGAAGGGAUGGGAACGCUGCCGACGCAGGCACUGCCGGCUGGAUGUCCAGCACGGGGACAGGGGCAGCACCACAGUGUCCCCCCACUGCUGGAAACCCCCUUGAGCGGCUGCCAAAGCACGUGUCCCCAACCCGAAUGCUGUGACUGUGAGCUGGAUGCACCUGAUGGCUGGGAUGCAGUUACAGCGAUGCCCCCCAGCAUCUUGGGCGCGAGGCCAGGCAAGCGAUGGCCACCGUGCAUGUUUCCAGGUGGCAGAGGAGAAGGCGGGCACACUGAACCCUUCCUGCUCGCUUUUACCGCCCCUCGCUCAUGGGGUGUUGGAAGUUCCAGUGUUUCUGCUGAAUUUCCAUGUCAUCGAGGCCCACGGAUGCUGUCGUUCCCCCCUCCUAAGCACGUCAGAGCAAACUGAACACUGUAACUGGGCGCUCGAGGUCCACUUCACCUCUUUCAGCUCAAAAAAGCUCCUGUUCUCAGCACUAAAUGUACUAAAAAUCACCCACUUGCUCCACAUAACAGUGGGCAGAGCUCAAUUAAGGCCCAGUGCUGCUGCGUGGUGAUAACACGAGGCUGUUCAAAGCAGGUAGGAGACAACGUCCUUGCUGGGAGACCUCCAGAUGCAGCAACUGCUGGUACUGACCCACCCUUAGAGCUCCUGGACCCUCACAGGACAUGCGGGACACUCACAGGCCUCUCCCUUGGCCUCUCUGUGGAGGCUGGAUUUAUUUCCUCUGUUUGAUGCCCAACUCAGAGCCUGUCCCAGGCCGGUCUGGGGGUGAAACCAGCUUUCACAGGCUGCUGGCUCUGUGGUGGUCUGGUCUUGCUGAGCAGUGAGAGCUGCCCUGAGCAAAAAGACAAGCCAGCACCUCCCAUAUCCUCACCUACCUGUUCCACGUGGCUUCCCUCCUCUUCCCAAGUCAAUGUGUAUUUGUUCCCCAAUGGCCACCCUCCUCACAAGGCUCCUCCAGCUCCUGCUCUGCACAGAGCACUAAGCCCAUGGUGCCCCAUGGCAGGAGGCUGGGCUCUGCUGAAAACCCAGCUCUUCAGGCUGCCCGAGAGGCCGCAGCUCAGCAGCGUGGCCAUAUGGGACUCAUUAUGGAUGGAGAGAAGACAGCAGGGAGCCCUCCUCCGAGCUCCAGCCUGAUGCUGGGACGAGCAGCCAGACGGUGGUGAAGCCACCUCAGGAACAGAGCUCUUGCAGCCUCAUUGGAGGCUUCCAUCAGCGAGGCAGAACCCCAGUGGGGCAGGAGGGAGAGCCCAGCAGCACUGCUCAGCCCUCCGAGCCCCGGUGGGCGCACCACGCUUGGCAGCCCCCACCUCGAGCCUCCCCAUCUCUUCUCUGGCGCGGUUCCUUGUCAGCUCACACAAUGCAGCUACACUAUUUGAAAAGCCAUACUAUUUGUUGGUACGACUCUUUUCGGACUGUCGAUUUAUAUAUAUUUGUUGAUAAAAGAGGUCAUCUUGGGAGACGCUCGUAGUCUACUGGGGAAUGAUCACCCAGUGCUGUAUAUUCUGUACAUGCUGUAUAAACAAAGCAAAGUAUUUAAGCCUAAAUGUUUGCGGGGAGAGGGGAGGCCAGCACCGGGCAACCUGGCAUCCCCUGGGGUGAGUGUGGACACGGGGACGGGACCCGGCCCAAAAACGGGGCAGUGCACCCGCAGAUGCGAGGCCACAUCCGAAGCCAUGGUGACGCCGCACAUCCCGUCCCACCAGAGCCCGACCGUCCCACGCACGGUCACAGAGCCUGCCCCGUCCUUUCCGUGUCGUUCGAAACCAUCGGGGACAGUCGUGGCAGCCUCGAGACGUUGUGCUGAGCUCAUCUAUUUUUAUAUCUGUGGUGUUCCCCAGUUCAUAGAGAGUAGUGAACAAGUACCCCUAUAGCUGAAAGUGACAUGUUCAAAAUAAACGUACGACUGCAGAAAUUGUUUGUAAUAAUAAUUUAUUUGAAAUAUUCUGCCAAAGAUAGCUCUCUUAAUGGUCUGUAAGCGUCGUUUCUCUCUCUUUGCUCUGAAUGUCAUUGUGAAAGCACCUUUCUCCCUGCUCUCUUCGGAAGAUUUGCUUUUGUUUUGGUAUGUUUAAGGGCAACAAAAAAGGCCCAUGUUUUGGUUUUGGUUUUGUUUUUAAGCAGAGCGGCAUGGUGAGGAGCAGAGGGACGCAGGGGGGCUCAGGGGGAUGCAGGAUGGCUUCUCAUCGCUCGGGUGAUGGAUGGGACACAGCAAAGGGGAGGAGAUGUGGGCACGCGCCCCCUCCCCAGGUGUGAGCGCCUGUGGGAUGAGCUGGGCCUCCCAAAGCCACCCCCGAGGGAUCACGCCCAUAUGGCCCUGCAGCCCCACCUGCAAUGCCUCACGUCAGUGCCGGGUCUGGUGGGUGUGGGUUUAACCAGGGGUGAAGCUGCCCAGAUCCAUCCGCUCCGAAAUUAGAGAUUUCUUUAUUUUUCAUGCUGGGAAAAAAACAAAACAAAACAAAAUAAGAGUCUCAUUUCCCUUCCUCAUAGUUUUCGCUUGAAAGAGCUUUUUAAUGCUAGAAAAACACCUCCCGUCAUCAUUUGUGAUCCUUCCACCCGUUGCACCAGGAGCCCAUCCCUAUCCGUACCCAUCAGACCCCACCUUGCCGGAGAUGCGUAUGGCGGAGGGGUUGGGUUGGAUGGGUCGCCGGGUUGGGUGGUUCGUGUUUUGCUUCUGAGCAGAGUCAUGAACCUUCUUAAUGGUAAAAAGGCAGAGGAACGGAUCGGUGACAAAGAAAUGGGUCAGGAACGGCUCCUCAUGCACCUGUGAUGGAGAGGAGGCGGCGGUGUGGGGCGCAGGGGGUGAGGCGGGGAUGUGGGGUGUGUGGGAUGGAGCCCCCGGCAGUGUCUGCAGCCACGGCGUCACGGGGACGGGCGGCAGCUGGGAGAAGAACUGGGUUUCUGAGCACUGUGCAUUUUGUUAAUUAGGAAAUUCAAAUAGUUUUAUUUUUUAC